rnacentral:rRNA from 1 species
AGGAAUGUAUAGCAAUAGCUACUUGCAUCAUUGUAGAUAUGAUGUAAGAUCGACUAUGUUGAAUAAAAUUCUAGGUAGAAUUAUGAUAAUGACAUUGUCUGCCUAUGUGUCUUGACCAAAUUACGUGCCAGCAGUCGCGGUAAUACGUAGAAGACUAGUGUUAUUCAUGUUUAAUCGGUUUAAAGGGUACCUAGACGGUAGAUCAAGCUUUCUAAUAAAUGAAAAGGACUAAUUUACUAGAGUUACUUAUGAGGGGGUAUUAAAGUACUGCUGGUGUAGAGAUGAAAUUCUGUCAUACCUCUUUUCAAAGGAAAAACCAUGGCACAGGUAUAGGCGAAGGCAUCCCCUUAUGUGAUAACUGACGUUGAGGGACGAAGGCUUUGUGUAGCGAACAGGAUUAGAUACCCCAGUAGUCGAAGCAGAAAAUGAUGAAUGUCAUAGAUUAGAUGUAUAAGUUUAUUCUAUAAAUGAAAGUGUAAGCAUUCCACCUCAUGAGUAAUUUGGCAACAUUGGAACUGAAAUCAUUAGACCGUUUCUGAAACCAGUAGUGAAGUAUGUUGUUUAAUUUGAUGAUCCGCAAAAAACCUUACCACAAUUUGAAUAUUUAUAUUUUUUUUUAUUGUUUUCUUCUCUUUUUUCUUCUGAAAAAAAAAAGAGAAGAAAAAAAUCAAAAAAGGAAGAAAAUUAAGAAAGAGGCAAUAAGAUAUAUUUACAAGCGUUGCACGGCUGUCUUCAGUUAAUGUCGCGAGACUUUGGUUAGUUCCAUUAAAUUAACGUAAACCCUUACUUUAUUUUUAUAUAGAGUAGUUCCCCGCUAUAUUGGAUAUGAU